rnacentral:rRNA from 1 species
CGCGAUUCGUACGGUGAAACUGCGAAUGGCUCAUUAAAUCGGCAAUCGUUCAUUUGAUUGUGCGCGCGAUCCAACUUUCCCAUUAUUGGGGUAUGUGUGAUCACGCUACUUGGAUAACCGUAGUAAUUCUAGAGCUAAUACAUGCUUUUUUGAGGGUCGACUUGAUCGCCCGGAGUUUGUGUAACUUUUCUCGCAAGAGGUUUGUUGCACAUCCGGUCACAAGCUUUUUUGCUUUAGCGACGGAAGACCCGCGUUUAUUAGAUUUCCCAAAAAACCGGCACUCCAACAACACAUCAACAAAAAGAGAUUUUUGUUUGUGUUUUGGAAAAUGCAAAUAAAACAUACGGUGAUUCAUGAUAACCGCGCGAAUCGUGACGGCCUUUUAGCGCCGACGAUGGAUCAUUCGAAUUUCCGCCCUAUCAACUUUCGACGGUAGGAUAGAGGCCUACCGUGGUGAUCACGGGUGACGGAGAAUUGGGGUUCGAUUCCGGAGAGGGAGCCCGAGAAACGGCUACCACUUCCAAGGAAGGCAGCAGGCGCGCAAAUUACCCAAUCCUGACGCAGGGAGGUAGUGACAAGAAAUAACAACGCAAACCCCGAUCCAAAGGGCUUGCGAUUGGAAUGAGUUCAAUUCAAAUCCCUCUCCCGACGAGGAACGAUU